rnacentral:antisense_RNA from 1 species
GUGAAGACAGGCAGAGACUGGGGUAAUGCAGCUACAAGGGAAUGUCAGAGAUUGCUAGCAAACACCAGAAGCUGGAAAAGGCAAGUAAGGAUUGCUCCCUAGAGCUUUCAGAGGGAGGACGGCUCUGCCACAUGCCUUGUUCUUGGACUCCUAGCCUCCAGAAUUAGGUCACCUGUUGGGUAAUAUCACCACAGACUGAAUACAGAAGCAGAUAUUAGCCUCCAGCCUCCUGCUCAUCUGGACACUAGAGAGAGUGGAUAUUCUAAAAGCAGAAAUCUUGACACUUAAGCCAAAAAGCCCUCCCAUUCAGAAGGAUGUAUGGAUUUUUCAUACUUGCAUCUGCGGGACGCAGAUGGUCCGAGUCACAAGUAAAGAAUGUCUGGUGGUCCUGGGCAGAGAGAUUCAUGUCAUAAGGAAUCACUAACACCUUUACUCCAGAUCAUGGCUUGAAACACACUGGAGUGGGAUUUUGCAUAAAGGAAGAAAGCUCAGGAAUGAUAAAUUUACACACCAUGGAUUUAGAAGGGAGUCUAUAACCCCAGAAUCACCAUCAUUUUGGGUGAUCCAUAUGCCUAUCAAUUAAAGUGCUACCUGAGUGCUGUUCAACUUCUUGAGAUGGAUGAAAAAGGAAUGAAAGGAGACAUAGCAAUCUUCAACUCCGCUCCUUUACUUUUGAAUAAGAGGUGAUGGAAGGCAAGGUCAGAGAGAUCUGGGUUCAAAUCUCAUGAUUUAACUGCUAUAUAACCUUGGCCAAAUUAUUUAAACUUUGUGUCUGUUUUUACUUAGCAAUAUAAAGACACUGGUCAUACCUACCACUCAGAAUUUCAAUCAGAAUUAAAUGAAAUAAUAUAUGCAAAGUGCUUAAUAUAGUACACCUGGCAUGGAGUGGUAACUCAAUAAAUAGAUCUUUUGUUAUAA